rnacentral:rRNA from 1 species
GACGAACGCUGGCGGCGUGCUUAACACAUGCAAGUCGAACGGUAAGGCCCUUCGGGGUACACGAGUGGCGAACGGGUGAGUAACACGUGGGUGAUCUGCCCUGCACUUCGGGAUAAGCCUGGGAAACUGGGUCUAAUACCGGAUAGGACCACUGCCUGCAUGGGUGGUGGUGGAAAGCUUUUGCGGUGUGGGAUGGGCCCGCGGCCUAUCAGCUUGUUGGGGUGAUGGCCUACCAAGGCGACGACGGGUAGCCGGCCUGAGAGGGUGACCGGCCACACUGGGACUGAGAUACGGCCCAGACUCCUACGGGAGGCAGCAGUGGGGAAUAUUGCACAAUGGGCGCAAGCCUGAUGCAGCGACGCCGCGUGAGGGAUGACGGCCUUCGGGUUGUAAACCUCUUUCAGCACCGACGAAGCGCAAGUGACGGUAGGUGCAGAAGAAGGACCGGCCAACUACGUGCCAGCCGCCGCCGUAA